GAGGCAGCGGGCCCUGCGGUGGGCACAGAGCGGGGGAAGAUGGCAGAACUGGGGAAGAAGUACUGUGUGUACUGCCUGGCUGAGGUGAGCCCGCUGCGCUUCUGCUGCACCGAGUGCCAGGACACCGAGCUGUGCUCUGAGUGCUUCUCGGCCGGCGCUGAGAUUGGCCACCACCGCCGCUACCACGGCUAUCAGCUGGUGGACAGCGGGUGCUUCACGCCUGGGGGCCUGAGGCCGAGGGUGGCUGGAUCAGCCGCGAGGAGCAGCUGCUGCUGGACGCCAUCAAGCAGUUCGGCUUCAGAAACUGGGAAGAUAUGGCUGCCCACGUUGGUGCUUCGAGGAUUCCCCAAGAGGUGAUGGAGCAUUACGUGAGCAUGUACAUCUACGGGAACCUGGGGAAGGGAAGGCCGGCAUCCCAGACACCAUCCCAAACUGCUUGACAGAUCACACCUGUCCCAGUGGGGGCCCUCUCUCACCCAGCCUCACCACCCCGCUGCCCCCACUGGACAUCUCUGUGGCCGAGCAGCAGCAGCUGGGCUACAUGCCCCUGCGGGACGACUACGACAUUGACUAUGACCAGGAUGCUGAGACACUCAUCAGUGGGCUCUCGGUCAACUAUGACAACGACGAUGUGGAGAUCGAGCUGAAGCACGCACGCGUGGACAUGUACGUGCGGAAGCUGAAAGAGAGACAGCGGCGGAAGAACAUUGCUCGUGACUACAAUCUGGUGCCAGCCUUCCUGGGGAAGGACAAGAAGGAGAAGGAAAAGGCACUGAAGUGCAAGAUCACCAAGGAGGAGAAGGAGCAGCGCCUGAAGCUGAGGCCUCUGUACCAGUUCAUGUCAUGCAAGGAGUAUGAUGACCUUUUUGAAAACAUGCACAAAGAAAAAAUCCUCAGGGCCAAGAUCCGAGAGCUGCAGCGGUACUGGCGAAAUGGCAUCACCAAGAUGGAAGAGUUGGCAGAGUACGAGGCCGCGUGGCACAAACUGGAGAAGAGGAAGGAGAACAAGAACCUAGCGGGCUCCAGGCGGGGAAAGGAGGAUGGCAAAGACAGCGAGUUCGCCGCCAUCCAGAACCUUCCAGGCUUCGAGCUGCUGUCGGAUCGUGAGAAGGUGCUGUGCAGCUCUUUAAACUUGAGUCCAGCCCGCUACGUGACUGUGAAGACUAUUAUAAUUAAAGACCACCUCCAGAAGCGACAGGGAAUCCCCUCCAAAAGCCGCCUUCCCAGGUACCUGGACAAAGUCCUAAAGAAAAGGAUUUUGAAUUUCCCCACAGAAAGAGGAUGGAUCUUCAGGGAUGUAUCUUGAAGCUGAGAGGCUUUGAAAGUCUGAGAUGUCCAGACAGUGCACCAGCCAAAAUGACUUGGGGGAGGGGAGCCACUUCCCCAUUGUUGCUCCUUUUUAAACAAAUUUAGUUCCUUUUUUAAGAUAUAAAUUCUUUUCAUGGUCCUCUGAAAGAAGCAAUAGUAACAGUCUUAUAUCGGAUCAUGGGGGAAGCAAAUGUGUCCAUUUUAACUUAAUCCUGCAAGUCACACACUGAGUGGAUGCUCAGCCUUUACCUGUUCAGUUUGGAGCUUAUUGUGAGAUUGGAGAACUUCCUUUUAUUUUGUGAGUGUUCUUCCCUUUCCGUACAAAAGCUAUUGUAGGGUACGGGGGCAGUGUUUUCCUGCUGGACCGACAAGCCAUAAGUGAUUUCCUGGUAACACAAGCUCUUCUCAGGUGGGGCUGCCUGCAGGCUCCCCUUUUCUGAACCCAUGAGGCCCACAGCUGACCCCAGUGCAGCCCCGGGCACCCAGCACUUUACAUGGGGGCAGCUUGAGCCCAAACUCCUCUGCUGUAUAGCAGAUGAGGAACAUCAGGCCAGAGGACAACAGGCUGGCGUUUCUUUGGAAACCGAAGAAGAAUCUGUUGGUUGAACACAGCGACCGGAUGACCUUCCACUUAACUGCUGGUGGCAGCAGUUUGAGCGUGCAUUCCCAAAUCUCAAAGCUGACCCUGCGCCUCAUUUGAAUGUGACCAGAACCUGCUGGUUCACUUUGGGUAGAGCCGUGGCCCUCAGGCAGGCUUCCAUGGGAAAGCACGUUAGUGGGAGUACACAGGACACGUGGACCACCAGGACCUCUCAACCCGUUUUCAGGGCUGGUCGUUGCUGCUGUUAGACAUGCAGCACAUUUCACUUGGAAGAACCCAUUGUAAAAAGUUCAAAGCUAAGAGUUCUGGAUUCUGGCGUCAGCUUCCUCAGGAUUUUCUUCAGUAGCAAGUACCUUUCCACUGAAAAUAUGAGCACGCCCUCCUGGCUAAGCAUCUUUAAGAGUGUGGUCAGGCCCAUGCCAGAGCCAUCUGACUGGUUGGCUGGUGGCAGUUCUGGUGGAGCACGAGGGAACCCAGGGGGUUCCCCUGAGCCUUGAGCUGCUCUCUGUUCACUGUCUUGAAUCACACUCAGAAAUGGCUUCUUCCCCGCCCAGCCUACAAGGUUUUCUCUGGGGCCCUCUUUCAAGGAUGUCCAUGGUACCUUCCUCCUGAACCUUGAGGAAGUCUUUUGUCUUCCGGCUGCUCAGGGUUCUCCGGUCCAAGACCCUGCUUUAAAUGUGGAGUGCUCAGAUGCCAGCACUCUACUCUUCCAGGAGGUUGACUUGCCUCUCGGGCCCUGUAGGUACCAAGAGACUGUUUACCUCCCAGAAUGUUUGGGCUUGAAUUUAAAUUAAAGUGAAGUUAUUUGAAAGAAAAAAAAA